rnacentral:rRNA from 1 species
GACGAACGCUGUUGGCGUGCUUAACACAUGCAAGUCGAACGGAAAGGCCCUGCUUUUGUGGGGUGCUCGAGUGGCGAACGGGUGAGUAACACGUGAGUAACCUGCCCUUGACUUUGGGAUAACUUCAGGAAACUGGGGCUAAUACCGGAUAGGAGCUCCUGCUGCAUGGUGGGGGUUGGAAAGUUUCGGCGGUUGGGGAUGGACUCGCGGCUUAUCAGCUUGUUGGUGGGGUAGUGGCUUACCAAGGCUUUGACGGGUAGCCGGCCUGAGAGGGUGACCGGCCACAUUGGGACUGAGAUACGGCCCAGACUCCUACGGGAGGCAGCAGUGGGGAAUAUUGCACAAUGGGCGGAAGCCUGAUGCAGCAACGCCGCGUGCGGGAUGACGGCCUUCGGGUUGUAAACCGCUUUCGCCUGUGACGAAGCGUGAGUGACGGUAAUGGGUAAAGAAGCACCGGCUAACUACGUGCCAGCAGCCGCGGUGAUACGUAGGGUGCGAGCGUUGUCCGGAUUUAUUGGGCGUAAAGGGCUCGUAGGUGGUUGAUCGCGUCGGAAGUGUAAUCUUGGGGCUUAACCCUGAGCGUGCUUUCGAUACGGGUUGACUUGAGGAAGGUAGGGGAGAAUGGAAUUCCUGGUGGAGCGGUGGAAUGCGCAGAUAUCAGGAGGAACACCAGUGGCGAAGGCGGUUCUCUGGGCCUUUCCUGACGCUGAGGAGCGAAAGCGUGGGGAGCGAACAGGCUUAGAUACCCUGGUAGUCCACGCUGUAAACGGUGGGUACUAGGUGUGGGGUCCAUUCCACGGGUUCCGUGCCGUAGCUAACGCUUUAAGUACCCCGCCUGGGGAGUACGGCCGCAAGGCUAAAACUCAAAGGAAUUGACGGGGCCCCGCACAAGCGGCGGAGCAUGCGGAUUAAUUCGAUGCAACGCGUAGAACCUUACCUGGGUUUGACAUGGAUCGGGAGUGCUCAGAGAUGGGUGUGCCUCUUUUGGGGUCGGUUCACAGGUGGUGCAUGGCUGUCGUCAGCUCGUGUCGUGAGAUGUUGGGUUAAGUCCCGCAACGAGCGCAACCCUUGUUCACUGUUGCCAGCACGUUAUGGUGGGGACUCAGUGGAGACCGCCGGGGUCAACUCGGAGGAAGGUGGGGAUGACGUCAAGUCAUCAUGCCCCUUAUGUCCAGGGCUUCACGCAUGCUACAAUGGCUGGUACAGAGAGUGGCGAGCCUGUGAGGGUGAGCGAAUCUCGGAAAGCCGGUCUCAGUUCGGAUUGGGGUCUGCAACUCGACCCCAUGAAGUCGGAGUCGCUAGUAAUCGCAGAUCAGCAACGCUGCGGUGAAUACGUUCCCGGG